rnacentral:rRNA from 1 species
AUUGAACGCUGGCGGCAGGCCUAACACAUGCAAGUCGAGCGAGCGGCGGACGUGUGAGUCAUGCCUGGGAAUUGCCCAGUCGAGGGGGAUAACAGUUGGAAACGACUGCUCAUACCGCAUACGAUUGACUUGCCCAGGUGGGAUUAGCUAGUUGGUGAGGUAAUAGCUCACCAAGGCAAAGAUCCCUAGCUGGUCUGAGAGGAUGAUCAGCCACAGUGGAACUGAGACACGGUCCAGACUCCUACGGGAGGCAGCAGUGGGGAAUAUUGCAAAAUGGGGGAAACCCUGAUGCAGCAGUGCCGGGUGUGUGAAGAGGGCCUGCGGGUUGUAAAGCACUUUCAGCGAGGAGGCGUUACUCGCAGAAGAAGCACCGGCUAACUCCGUGCCAGCAGCCGCGGUAAUAC